AGCUAGCGGACGGGUGAGUAAUGCUUGGGAACAUGCCUUGAGGUGGGGGACAACAGUUGGAAACNACUGCUAAUACCGCAUAAUGUCUACGGACCAAAGGGGGCUUCGGCUCUCGCCUUUAGAUUGGCCCAAGUGGGAUUAGCUAGUUGGUGAGGUAAUGGCUCACCAAGGCGACGAUCCCUANCUGGUUUGAGAGGAUGAUCAGCCACACUGGGACUGAGACACGGCCCANACUCCUACGGGAGGCAGCAGUGGGGAAUAUUGCACAAUGGGCGCAAGCCUGAUGCAGCCAUGCCGCGUGUGUGAAGAAGGCCUUCGGGUUGUAAAGCACUUUCAGUCAGGAGGAAAGGUUAGUAGUUAAUACCUGCUAGCUGUGACGUUACUGACAGAAGAAGCACCGGCUAACUCCGUGCCAGCAGCCGCGGUAAUACGGAGGGUGCGAGCGUUAAUCGGAAUUACUGGGCGUAAAGCGUACGCAGGCGGUUUGUUAAGCGAGAUGUGAAAGCCCCGGGCUCAACCUGGGAACUGCAUUUCGAACUGGCAAACUAGAGUGUGAUAGAGGGUGGUAGAAUUUCAGGUGUAGCGGUGAAAUGCGUA
rnacentral:rRNA from 1 species